CCUACGGGUGGCAGCAGUAGGGAAUAUUGCUCAAUGGGGGAAACCCUGAAGCAGCAACGCCGCGUGGAGGAUGAAGGUUUUAGGAUUGUAAACUCCUUUUGUUAGAGAAGAUUAUGACGGUACCUAACGAAUAAGCACCGGGUAACUCCGUGCCAGCAGCCGCUGUAAUACGGGGGGUGCAAGCGUUACUCGGAAUCACUUGGCGUAAAGAGUGCGUAGGCGGGGUAAUAAGUCAGGUGGUAAAGUCUGUAGCUUAACUACAGAACUGCAUUUGAAACUGGUACUCUGGAGUGUGGGAGAGGUAGGUGGAAUGCGUGGUGUAGGGGUAAAAUGCGUAGAGAUCAAGAGGAAUACUCAGUGCGAAGGCGACCUGCUGGAACAUUACUGACGCUGAUGCACGAAAGCGUGGGGAGCAAACAGGAUUAGAUACCCCUGUAGUC
rnacentral:rRNA from 1 species